UGUAUAGACCAGGAUGGCCUCGAUUUCCCAAGUGCUGGCAAUAAAGGGUGCCAGUCACAGCAGGGAGUCAGGGCAGCAGGGGACUCACAGCAGCUCAUCACAUCUGUCCACCAGCAGAAAAGGACAAGGCAUGCUGUGGCUCGCUCCCUUCCUCUUUUUAUCAAGCCCAGGGAAUGGUUCUACCCACAGAUCAGGUUUGCUGAAGUCAAGAGAUCCAUCCCUUCAAUAUAAAUUAGACCAUACACACUAUGGGCAAUCUAUGAUUAAGACCAAGUCACUUGACACUACAUCUCCCAUCUAUACAUUGAGGACGAUUCUAAUAUUGUUGCAAAAGUAAACUUGCAUAUAAGUACAGCUUCGUAUCCAGACUCUGGAUCUCAAGCUUUCAAGUGUAUUAUAAUCACUGGAGAGGACACACUCCAGAGAUCCAAUUCUUAGUACACACACACACACACACACACACACCCCACCCCCGGUGCUGAAGCUCUGUCUGCAAACACACUUUGAGCACAAAUCCUGGCUCUAUCACUUGGGCUUCCUAAAACUCACUUUCUCGAACUCUAAAACAAGAACCUCAGCUAUCUGCACUUGUGGGUUUAGCAGUUACAUAAGUAAGUAACGUUCACAGGGGGUGGAAAAGUGUCUGGUUCCUAUCAGUUACUCAGCAGCAAUCGGAUAGCUGCGAUAGCUGUGUGACCAUCACCACCCCGCUACUGUUUCUGAGUAAUGGAACAAGAGGAAUGGAACACUGAGGGCAUGGCGUUUUGUAAUCGAAUUAAACUGUGUUGUUAUUUAAAGGU